rnacentral:tRNA from 1 species
GCCCAGAUGGUGAAAUUGGUAGACAUGCUAUCUUCAGGCGGUAGUGGCUUAACGGCCGUGCAGGUUCGAAUCCUGUUCUGGGCACCA